AUUGAACGCUGGCGGCAUGCCUUACACAUGCAAGUCGAACGGCAGCACGGGAGCAAUCCUGGUGGCGAGUGGCGAACGGGUGAGUAAUGUAUCGGAACGUGCCCAGUCGUGGGGGAUAACGUAGCGAAAGCUACGCUAAUACCGCAUACGAUCUAUGGAUGAAAGCGGGGGAUCGCAAGACCUCGCGCGAUUGGAGCGGCCGAUAUCAGAUUAGGUAGUUGGUGGGGUAAAGGCCCACCAAGCCUGCGAUCUGUAGCUGGUCUGAGAGGACGACCAGCCACACUGGAACUGAGACACGGUCCAGACUCCUACGGGAGGCAGCAGUGGGGAAUUUUGGACAAUGGGCGCAAGCCUGAUCCAGCAGUGCCGCGUGCAGGAUGAAGGCCUUCGGGUUGUAAACUGCUUUUGUACGGAACGAAACGGCUUUUUCUAAUACAGAGAGCUAAUGACGGUACCGUAAGAAUAAGCACCGGCUAACUACGUGCCAGCCGCCGCCGCGG
rnacentral:rRNA from 1 species